GGAAAGCAUUCUGUCCGGGCGAUGCGUGCUGGCAAGUGGGGCUUUGAGCCGGGCAGCUUGGAGGCCGCAAGUUCUUGAGGGAUGCGGAGAUGGUGAGGCAUGUCAAUCCCUGAUAGAAUUUGAAGUACUCACCACGCCGUAGAGCACGAAAGAGUACAGCAGCGUCCUGUAGCGGCCCCAGUAUGUGUCGGAGAGAAAAGCCCCAAGAACUGAGGAGAGAAAGUUGGAGAUUAUGCCGAAGAAGAUGACCGUCGCAGCUACUUGGAUGACUGCAACACACUCGCAAAGUCAAGACACUGAAAGCUUUGCAAAGCGUUGGAGAAACUUUACAGAUCAUAGGGAUCGCGCCGGCCCAUUUUCCAGUUUUCUUCUUGAGAGCGGGCUGGCCCUUGAAAUCCAGAGUUCCGUUUUGAGCA